CGCAUCAGUCUCGCCCGAUGACGCGCGCCUAUCCCACGUGGACAACACCCCCGAAACGCACCUAACCGCGGGCGUAGACUCUGCUCCGAAACGCGUAAAAUCAGCGCGUGGUAGAAUCGUAAAAUCAACGCGCUUUAGGGGGUCUUGUUGUUGUGCCCUAAUCGCCUGCUAGCGAGAUCUGCCUGUCUUAUCCUGAAGAACCAAUCAACUCCGCCCUCGUCUGAUAAAUCCGUAUAUCAACCAUGUCCCUCCUGCAACUCGGAUCGUCAGUCCGUUCAGAUUCGUCGUGUUCCGCUGUCUGACUCACGCCCUCCGGUACCCCGAUCCAACUCAGUAACC
rnacentral:lncRNA from 1 species